AGGCAAGAAGGAAGGGUGACUGCUUUGGUGUAAAACGGAGCUCAUUUAUAAAAUGUAGAUGAGAUUUCACCAUGAAGCAUAGGGAUUUUAAAGAAAAAAGGUGAUGUCCUUCAAGAAGCAGCUCAUGCAAUUGCUACUGUGCGAGAAGAUGGGCUGCUCAACAUACACCAAAUAGCACAGAAUUUUGACUGCCACAUUUAUUGCCAUGAUUGGCCUUGGCAAAUCGGUGCCCUUGAGUUUCAAAUCGUCACAUUCAUUGCCUUGAUUGGCAAUGGCAAAGCAGCCUGUUUUUUUUUCGAAUACAGGCAAAACAGUAUUUUGAUAUGUUUUGCCAACCAUGACAAGUCCCCUAACGAGGGUGUUACUUUUCCUGGCAAGUGAUGAUUGUACAUGUCACUAACACCACACAUAUAUUGGAGCUACUGCCUGAUUGGCUUCCUUUGAUCAGCUGUAAAACCAUGGUUACCCAUUUGAGGCAACCAUCAUUAUUCCCAAGCUUCCCUUCAUUAAAAUGUUUCUUCAAAGUGGUAACCCCUUUGCAGUAAAUUUGAUCCUUGAAUCUUGAUGGUAAUUGAUCACCAAGUAAAAUCUGGAGUUUUGUAAUGUGAACUGUUAAAUAGAAGGAUUGCUAUAAUCAUGCAGUUGUAGCCUGAGUUACAAAACCAGAUGGACAUUCUUAUUCAUUCUUCAUAUGCCACAUGUUUCCUGCCCAAAAGUUUGUGCCACAGAUUAACUCCAGGUUGGCUUGAUGCUGAAUAGCUCAACCUUCGUCACAUACCUCUGAUCGAGUACCUGGAAUCGUGUAGAGUUCAAGUUUUGUUAUUCAUCAAUGCAAACCAUAUAAAUAGGAGUUCUU
rnacentral:lncRNA from 1 species